rnacentral:lncRNA from 1 species
AAAUUAGACAACAAUAUGGUUUAUAGAGGAAUUGUCUUAAUUUUUGAUAGAAAAUAUUCAUUUUGAUAUUUUUAUGGUUAAUUAAAUAUCGCAUUUGAUAUAUUUUCAUUAAAUAAUUGGUCAUACGUCUAAAAAGAUGACAAUGUUUUAAUGAAAAAAUUUACUAUUAAUAUAACUAUGUUGACAAUGAAACACACAAGACAAUUCUGUUAAAAUCAAUGUAGUUUGUGUGGAGUAAUUUCCUCCCAAAAAGGUUGACUUCUGGACAUUGUAUGGAGUAAUUUCCUCCCAAAAAGGUUGACUUCUGGACAUUACACUCUUGUUUUAACCAAAUGAACAUUAACAACACUUGAAAUUGAAAAUAAGUGUUACAUGGAAGCCCAUGCAUGCAUGGUUACCAUAAACUCAUGAAAAUCAGAACUUCUUAUAACUGACACACAGCAGCUUGUCAGGUGUCAACAUUCUGAACUUAGUCAAGGUUCAUAUGUAUAUCUGGCCCUUGUUCUACUUAGAAUUACUACCUUUUCAUGUUCUACCCCUGUAACAUAGUGAUAUUUCAUAGAAAAUCAUUUGCAUUAAGAACUGCUAGUUAAUGUAAUAUUUGACCUUGUGCUUGUUGUGUGGGCUACUUUUCAAAUUAUAAAUGCUGAUUGUUGACUGAUAAAGAGUAGUCUCCCCUUUAAUAAUGCUGUAUUAUUGCAAAAUAUUUUUUUAGUAACUGAUAUUUAUAUUUAUUGUGUAUUCAACAACACUAAGUCACUUAAGUAACUUGUGGACCAAUAAAAUUACAGAUUACUUAAGUGUUUUCAUUUUAGCAGUAUUUAAUUAUUUUUUAUCUGACAACCCUACAUACAAUCUGAUAUCCACUGAAGGGAAGUCUACCAGCAUGAAAUUUAGGAGCUUUAAAUAUAAAAUUUAGGUGACUUCCUAUUGCUAGUUCCAUAUCAUUUAUCUGCAAAAAACAUCUUUCUGCUUAAUUUGUCUUUGCUAACAUAUGUUACUUAAUCAAUGAUUAAGAUGUUCAUUUAUAUCUGCCUUUGACAGUGUACAUGUUUUUGUAUUCUUCAAUUACAAUAUUUUUUUCUUUAUUGGGUAAAAUUGUGGUCAAUAAUCCUUAAAUUUUUGUUAAAACAGAUAUGCUGUACAAAAAUGCAGUGUAAGAUAAAAUGAAGAACAUUUG